rnacentral:tRNA from 1 species
ACACUGAUGGUUCAGUGGUAGAAUUCCUACCCUCCACGUAGGAGACCUGGGUUCGAUUCCAGCCAAUGCA